AACCUGGUUGAUCCUGCCAGUAGUCAUAUGCUUGUCUAAAAGACUAAGCCAUGCAUGUCUAAGUAUAAGCUUUUAUACGGCGAAACUGCGAAUGGCUCAUUAUAACAGUUAUAAUUUAUUCGGUAAUGACUCCUACAUGGAUAACCGUGGUAAUUCUAGAGCUAAUACAUGCUUACAGGCCCUUUACGGGGUUGCAGUUAUUAGAUUUAGAACUUCUUUUUGGUGAUUCAUAGUAACUAAGCGAAUCGUUUUGAUAGACCGUUUAAGUUUCUGACCUAUCAGCUUUUGACGGUAAGGUAUUGGCUUACCGUGGCAUUCACGGGUAACGGGGAAUUAGGGUUCGAUUCCGGAGAGGGAGCCUGAGAGACGGCUACCACAUCCAAGGAUGGCAGCAGGCGCGCAAAUUACCCAAUCCUGAUUCAGGGAGGUAGUGACAAGAAAUAACGAAGUAGGACACAUUGUGAUUCUGCUAUUGGAAUGAGUGGGUUUUAAAAAUCUCCACGAGUAACAAUUGGAGGGCAAGUCUGGUGCCAGCAGCCGCGGUAAUUCCAGCUCCAAUAGC
rnacentral:rRNA from 1 species